AUUGAACGCUGGCGGCAGGCCUAACACAUGCAAGUCGAGCGGAGCGGCGGACGGGAGAGUAAUGCCUAGGAAUCUGCCUGGGAGUGGGGGAUAACGUACGGGAGCGGGCGCUAAUAACGACUUCUAACAGAUGAGCCUCGGUCGGAUUAGCUAGUUGGUGGGGUAAAGGCCUACCAAGGAGACGAUCCGUAACUGGUCUGAGAGGAUGAUCAGUCACACUGGAACUGAGACACGGUCCAGACUCCUACGGGAGGCAGCAGUGGGGAAUAUGGGACAAGGGGCGAAAGCCUGAUCCAGCCAUGCCGCGUGGUGGAAGAAGGUCUUCGGAUUGUAAAGCACUUUAAGUUGGGAGGCGUUACCAACAGAAUAAGCACCGGCUAACUUCGUGCCAGCAGCCGCGGUAAUAC
rnacentral:rRNA from 1 species